rnacentral:rRNA from 1 species
UACGUAGGUGGCAAGCGUUGUCCGGAUUUAUUGGGUUUAAAGGGUGCGUAGGCGGCUUUGUAAGUCAGUGGUGAAAUAUGGCAGCUCAACUGUCAAGGUGCCAUUGAUACUGCGGAGCUUGAGUACAGAUGAGGUAGGCGGAAUUGACGGUGUAGCGGUGAAAUGCUUAGAUAUCGUCAAGAACACCGAUAGCGAAGGCAGCUUACUAGGCUGUAACUGACGCUGAGGCACGAAAAGUGUGGGGGAUCAAACAGG